rnacentral:tRNA from 1 species
GGAGAUUUAGCUCAGAGGUUAAAGCGUCUGCCUGGAAUGCAGGAGACCUGGGUUUGAUCCCUGGGCCG